UGCCAGCCGCCGCGGUAAUACGAAGGGACCUAGCGUAGUUCGGAAUUACUGGGCUUAAAGAGUUCGUAGGUGGUUGAAAAAGUUAGUGGUGAAAUCCCAGAGCUUAACUCUGGAACUGCCAUUAAAACUUUUCAGCUAGAGUAUGAUAGAGGAAAGCAGAAUUUCUAGUGUAGAGGUGAAAUUCGUAGAUAGUAGAAAGAAUACCGAUUGCGAAGGCAGCUUUCUGGAUCAUUACUGACGCUGAGGAACGAAAGCAUGGGUAGCGAACAUGAUUCGAUA
rnacentral:rRNA from 1 species